rnacentral:tRNA from 1 species
GUUGUGCGUAGCUCAAUCGGCAGAGCGUCGGAUUGUGGUUCCGAUGGUUGAGGGUUCAAGUCCCUUCGCACACCCCA